rnacentral:lncRNA from 1 species
AAUAGCGAAGCUAAAAAUUUCAUUAAGAAUGUUCAAUAUUAAAAAUAUACAAUAAAAUGUAAUUUUUGACCUAUAUCAAAAUACAAUCCCCUAUUUAAUUACACACUAUCCGAAUUAAGGAUAUUCAGACUACCCUUCAUACUGUUCCCAUCCCAAUACAGGUAUGUAGUAGCCCCUGUUCAGGGUAAGUUAAAACAUGACAAUUCACAGAAUUUUAUCUUUUUGGCCCAAGAGUUUAUUCUUUUACUGUUUAUUUCUCCUUUUUUUUCCCAACGAAGAAACACUAAUUUAAAAUAAGUUUAAUCGCAUAAAAAUAUGCUCAGUUGGUCAUAUGCUAUUUGCUAAGUUAAUUCAUUAAAUUUUUAAGAGAAUAUCUUUUUUUUGGAGUAAUAAUAGGAAUUAUAUUAGAUAGACUAGAUAAGUGACAUAUUACAUGCCAUAUUGUUCGUAGAGGUAGUUAUGAGGAUUGGUAUUCCCGUGUCCAAAAUACUACUACUAGAUGGAACAUUUUUGUUACCUGCCCUUAUCACAUUACAUACUGAAAGAGGUACUGAUUUUGUAGAGUUGCAUUUCUGACUCAGGUCCUUUGUCUGGAGAUGCUUCACAAAAAAGGGGGGGUCAACAAAAAUUUUGUGCCUCCUGGUUAAUAUUGCUUGUUUUCCUUAUUUUUUGCUUCCUUAGCUAAUGAAUCUACUACUGAAUUGUCUUGUCUGAAGUUAUGCUGUAGUAGUAAGCCCUUCUCCUGGCGCAUUAAUGACCUGCAAGAUUGUAUCAGAUUAAAUAAUAUUGUGUGUCCAUUAGUCAUUGCAUUCUUUAAAUUCGUUGAGUCCGUCUAGAUUUCCGGCAGGAGUCCAAAUCUAGUUGCUAAUUGGAUUCCCUCGUGAAGAGCUUGCAAUCUAUAUGAAGAGGAAAUAGCCAAAUACAGUAUUUGUUAAAACCUAAUAUCCAUUUCCCUUUGCUAUCCCUGACACACCUCCUAUAUAACUGAUUCCAAGAGUGAAGGCACCAUCUAUGUUUAAUUUGGUCCAUGCCACUGGAUUGGAAUGGUAAUUUUUUUCUGUUGGUUGAGGGGUUUGCCACCCGACAGGGAUAUUGACUUUUGCAUUGACGUGGCUCCAGGCACUCAACCCAUUUCUAUCCCGCCAUAUCAUAUGGCCCCACAUGAUUUGAAAGAGUUAAAGGAUCAGUUGCAGGACGGUGUAUUGCCUUGGGGUGUGCCGGUGUUGUUCGUUAAGAAGAAGGAUGGUUCGAUGAGAAUGUGCAUUGAUUAUCAGCAGUUGAACAAGGUAACAAUCAAGAAUAAGUAUCCACUACCGAGGAUUGAUGAUUUGUUCGAUCAGCUUCAGGGUACCAAGGUAUUUUCCAAGAUACUUGAGAUCUGGCUACCAUAAGUUGAGGAUUAGGGCAUCCGAUGUCCCUAACACAGCUUUCCGCACUCGGUACAGGCAUUAUGAGUUCUUGGUUAUGUCAUUCGGGUUGACAAAUUCCCCAGAAGCUUUCAUGGACUUGAUGAACUGAGUGUUUAGGCCUUAUUUGGAUUCAUUUAUGAUAGUGUUCAUUGAUGAUAUAUUGAUAUAUUCCCGCAGCCAGGAGGAGCAUGAGCAGCACCUUAGAGUGGUUCUCAAGACUUUGAGGGAUAGUCAGUUAUAUGCUAAGUUCUCGAAGUGUGAAUUAUGGCUGAGUUCAAUUGCAUUUCUGGGUUAUGUUGUAUCAGCAGAGGGUAUUCUAGUGGACCCAAAGAAGAUUGAGGCAGUCUAGAGCCGGCCUAGACCAGCAUCAGCUACAGAGUUCCUGGGGUUGGCAGGCUAAUAUCGAUGGUUUGUGGAGGGGUUUUCAUCUAUUACAGCCCCAAUGACUAGAUUGACCCAGAAGGGUACCCGGUUCAUAUGGUCAGAUGAGUGUGAGACAAGCUUUCAAAAGCUCAAGACAUCUUUGACUACGGCACCGGUGUUGGUUUUACCCAUGGGUUCAGGGCUGUAUAUGGUUUGUUGUGAUGCUUCCCAUAGUAUUGAUACAGGAUGGCAAGAUCAUUGCCUAUGCUUCGAGAAAGUUGAAGAUUCAUGAGAAGAUCUAUCCGGUUCAUGCUUUGGAGUUGGCAGCCAUUGUUCACGCAUUGAAGAUUUGGAGGCACUAUUUGUAUGGCGUGGCAUAUGAGGUGUUUACUGACCACAAGAUUCUUCAGUACUUGCUCAAGAAAAAGGAGUUGAAUUUGAGGCAGAGGAGGUGGUUAGAGUUGUUGAAGGAUUAUGACAUAGCCAUUCUAUAUCAUCCGGGGGAGGCCAAUGUGGUGUCCGAUGCUCUGAGUAGGAAGUCAGCCAGUAUCGGUAGUCUUGCUUAUAUUCUGGUCAGUGAGAGGCCGCUUGCUUUGGUUGUUCAGGCAUUAGCCAAUCUAUUCAUGAAGCUGGAUAUUUUUGAGUCUAGUCACGUGUUAGCUUGCACGGUUGCCCGUUCUUCAUUAUUGGAGCGUAUCCGUGAUUGGUAGUAUGAUGAUCCUCAUUUGUGUGUCCUUAGAGACACGGUGCAGUGCGGAGGUUCCAGACAUGUUGCCUUAGAUGAUGAUAGAGUGUUGAGAUUGCAGGGUCGAGUUUGUGUGCCUAAUGUGGAUGGGCUUCGAGAGUUGAUCUUAGAGGAGGCCCAUAGCUCCCAAUACUCUAUUCAUGUGGGCGCCGCAAAGAUGUAUCAGGAUCUGCAACAACAUUAUUGGUGGCAUAGAAUGAAGAAGGAUAUCCGUAAAAUAUAUGGCUCGUUGUUUGAAUUGUCAGCAGGUUAAGUACGAGCAUCAGAGGCCUGGUCGAUUAUUUCAGAGCAUUUAGCUUACCGACUGGAAGUGGGAGAGGAUCACUAUGGACUUUGUUAUCGGGCUUCUGCAGACUCGGAAGAAGUUCGAUGCGAUAUAGGUAAUUGUUGGUAGGCUGACCAAGUUAGCGCAUUUCAUUCUUAUGGCAGUCUCCUAUUCUUCUGAGAGGUCAGUGGAGAUCUAUAUUCGGGAGAUUGUUCGCCUUCAUGGUGUUCCCGUAUCUAUCCAGACCGGGGUAUGUCGUUUACCUCGCGCAUUUGGAGAGCAGUUCAACGAGAGUUAAGCACACGAGUUGAACUGAGCACAACAUUUCAUCCCCAGACGGACGGUCAGUCCGAGCGGACUAUUUAGAUUUUAGAAGAUAUGCUCCGAGCUUGUGUUAUUGACUUUGGCGAUUCAUGGGAUUGGUUUUUGCCUUUACCGAAGUGUGCCUAAAACAACAGCUAUCAGUCGAGCAUCCAGAUGGCUUCUUAUGAGGCCUUAUAUGGUAGGCGGUUUCGGUCUCCGGUUGGAUGGUUUGAGCCAGGAGAGGCUCGGUUGUUGGGUACGGAUUUGGUUCAAGAGGCCUUGGACAAGGUCAGGAUCAUGCAGAUCACAAGUUUAGGGAUAUGGCUUUUAUGGUGGGUGAACGGGUAUUGCUCCGAGGACGAAUAGUUAUAUUAGAGGCGGAGAAUGUGACGACCGAAAGGGUCAUCACAUGUUUUUUUAUUCAUUCCGUGCUUUUGAGGCCUUGAAAACCUUAUUUAUAGUCGCCUCAAUUUGUGUGCGCAGUCCGGACGGGUAGCUAGAAAGCUUAAAUGUGGAAUUCUGUAAGAAUACUAAAUGUUGGUAUUAAAACUAAAUAAAUUGGACUUCGAUAAGCAUUUUGGACAAACAAAUCCGGAGCCAUGAUUGGAUGGUCUCGGAGGGUCCGUAGGAAAAUUUGUGAGUCGGGCAUAUUCCCGGAAUUGAAUUCCAAGGUCCUAAGCCCGAAAAAUAAAUUUUUGAGUAAAAUUGUUUUCUGGAAUUAUUACGAAUAAUUGAAGUGAAAAUUGAUUAGAACGUGUUGGUAUCAGGCCUUAUUGUGGUUCAGGUGCCCCGUACAGGUCUUAUAUGUGAUUUAAAUAUUUCUGUAAAGUCUGGUUGAAAUCAGACGUCGUUUGACAUAUUCCUGGCUUAAAGUUCCAAAUUUGAAAGUUUAUGAAGUUUAGAAAAACUCUUGAUUUUGAGGCUUGAAUCACUGAUUUUGAUAUUAUUUUGGCCAAUUAAUCACACGGUUAUGUUCCCAUAAAGUUUUUGAGUUAGUACAUAUGUUUGGUUAGGAGCCCCGGGCUCAGGAGCAUUUCAGAGGUGUUUCGGGGUGGUUUCAAACUAAGGAAAAAUUGCAGAUUUUGAGCAGUUGCAGGUCCAUUAGUUCUUCGCGUUCGCCACGCCUCUUCCGCAUUCGUGAAGCUCUAAGUUUUUCCUUCAUUGUGUUCGCACCCCGCCCCAGCGUUCACAUAGAGUUAUUUGACCCUUAGGGCUCUGUCUUCUUUUCCUCUUUGCAUUCGCAUGCAUGUGACCGUGUUCGCGUAGCCUUGCUUUGUUUCCUCAUUGCGUUCGCGUGGAAGCCUACGCGUUCGCAUAGAACAAAUUUUUACACCCUAUCCUUUUACUCUACACGUCGUAUUCCCCAGCUCGUGAACGUGAUGGUCAGUAAGUUCUACCCUCCGCGAACACAGCCAGCCUCGCGAACGUGAAGGGAAAUUUCGCCCAGUUAUAUUUUUAAUUCUGGAACAGUGUUAUUGCAGGAUUUUUCACAAGUUUUCACGAGCUCUUUCUUCUCCAAGGUGCUUAGGCAUCCAUUGAAGCUCUCUUUCACCAAAACUUCGUGGAUUAGUAAUCCUUAACUCGUUUUCUUUAUUUUUCAUCAACAUCUAAAUAAUUCCUAAGCCUAAAACAUGUAAUUAAUGGUAGAAAUUGGGGAUUUAGGUAGAGUAGGGCUUUCUGAAUUUUCUUGAUUUAGACCUAUUUUUGGGGUCGAAUUUAAAAGUAAAUUAUAUAUUCGGGCUCGUGGGUGAAUGGGGGAUUUGAAUUUGGUCCAAACCUCAUGUUUUGACCAAGCAGGCCCGGGGUCGAUUUUUUGGAUUUUGGGAAGAAUGAUCGGAAAUUUGUAAUUGAACGUAGGAAUUGGCUUGUUUAGCUCUUAUUGAUGGUAUUGAGUCAUUUAUGCAUAGAUUCGUUGGGUUGGAGCCGGAUUCGAGAGGGAAAGCGGUGAUUGUGGAUUGACUUGGCCGUGGAAGUUGAGAUAAGUAUUUGGUUUAACCUUAGCUUGAGGGAAUAUGUGUUGAGUCUUAUUUUCUACUUGCUAAUUGUCGAGUACGAUAUAUAGUUACGGUGACGAGUAUCUAUACAUUGGUGAUUAGCAUGACUGUGUGUCCUUAUAUUGCGUAUAUUCUAAUUUUGUUGUGACUUCCAUGCUUAAUUGACGAUUUCUAUAUGUUGUAAAGAGCAUGUGAAAGGAAUUGUGAACUUUAAACUUCAAGGAGCAUUGGCGCGAGUUGAAAUACAGGUUGUGAAGGUAUAUGAAAUAAUUAAAUCCUUGGAGCACGGGCUCACAUGAUAAUGUGAACUAUAAGACAAAAAUGAAAGAAAGAAAAAGAGUUAUUGGUUUAUUCACUUGCCGGGACGUUUUGUUGUUUUAUUGAUAAUCUCCCUUGCCAGGACGUAUAUACUUGCACUGUGGAGUUCCCUUGCCAGGAUAGUAUAAAUUAUAGUUAAUACCUUGCCGGGCCUGUUGUCUUGAUCAUUAUAAGUUGCAUAUUUAGAUAUUAUAUUGGAUUAGGUUGCACGCUACAACAGAUAAUAUAUUGGAUCAGGUUGCACGCCGCAACAUGUAUUAUAUUGGAUGGGGUUGCACGCCGCAACAAAUAUCAUAUAUGGAUCGGUUUGCAGCCCGCAACAGCUAUACGUAUAUGGAAUGGGUUGCGCACCACAACAGAGUUAAUUGAUAAGGGAUCGGGUUGCGCGCCGCAACAGUAGUGUUAUUGAAUUAUUGUAGAUGUUGUACUGUUCUUUCAUAUAUCAUUUUGAUUUCUGUUAGGUUGAUAUAGUACCCUGAACCAUGUACCCCUCUUCCUUAUAAUUGCUCCAUUACUUGUUUAUUUUUCUGCAAUAUAUUACGUAACUGCACAGGUUUACAUGGUAGUCGGGUCUAGCCCCGUCACUACUUCGCCGGGGUUAGACUAGGCACUUACCACCACAUGAAGUCGGUUGUACUGACGCUGUACUCUGUGCUAUUUUGCACAGAUCCAGGUCUUGGAUAGCAGCAUCUGUAGUGCGCGAGCCAACCUUUAGUCUAACGAGACACCGAGGUAGCUCUGUAGGAAUCCGCAGGCCCGUCGUCUCCUCUAUCCUUUAUUUUAGUCUGUUAUCUCAUUGUAUUCGAGACAAACAGUUAUAUUUUCUUUUAGACGAUUAUAUUUAGUACUCUUGGAAGUUCGUGAGUAUUGUGACACCAGUCUUAGGUAGCGGAUUAUGUUGGAUUUCCACAUUUUAAUCAGCUCAUUUAAUUAAAGGUUUUCGCUUAUUUAUUUAUUUAUUUAUUUAUUUCUGUUGUUUUCAUGCUAUUUCCAACAAUUGUUAAAAAGGAGUAUAUCGUAAUGGAAAUGUGAUUAAGUUUUAGCUUGCCUAGCUCCUAUUAGUAGGCGCCAUCAUGACUCCGAGGGUGGAAAAUUCGGGUCGUGACACUCUGCUAAUACUAAAGGCUAUUAACUACAUUAGAAGAAACUAAAAGAAUAAAGUAACCAUAUGCAAACAAAAGAUAAAGGAAAAUUAAAUGCAUGAAAUUGAGAAGAAGAAAGAGAGAAUGUUACUUUAGCUUAUGAAUUCCCAUAACUAAUCAUACUUAGAAAAAUACAAACAUAAAGCUAUAGAGUCAUGCAUUUGUCAUGACAACUAGAGGACUUUUAUAUAAAAAAAAAAAAUUCAAAACUACCAACUUAAACACAUGAACAUGUAUCACUAGCAUUUCUGUUUUUACUAGCAAUUUCUAAUGAAACCAAGGUGACAAUGAGUCAUAAUAACAAAGCAAUUAUGAACUAAAGAGGUUUAAAGCAUGUUGUCAGGUGGAAUAUUCAUAGAUAAUUCAAAAUUUAUCAUAUGUACUCACCCACAAAACCUUACAAGAACAGAAUGCUUAUAUAGCUAAGAAUAAGCUGGGGAAAAGAAGAAAGAAAGAAACUUCAAAUUUCUUCGUCUCCAUUCAAUCCUGACUCAAAAUUGAAGUAGCAUUUUAAGAGUAUACUAGAAAGAAAAUGUCAGCAGGAAGAGGGACUGAAAUUCAAUAACAAAACAGCAACGCAAUAGUAGUAAAACAACAGUAAAUUCAUGUUAAAACAGCCCGAAAACUUAGAGAAGAAACCCAGAAACGAACUCUAAAGAAGGAUUAUACUUUUCUAAAAGCUUUCACUCUAAAAUUCGCUCCUAAAGUUCACAAUUUCAGUUUACUUUCUUUAAGUUCAGCUGCUGAUUUUUACUCUUAAAAUUGUAUUUUUUUAAUAUGUAAAAUGUCUAGCCAAUGUAUGGUAGAGUGUGUCCUCAAGUGUAAAAGAAUGGCCCCUUUAAGUAGGAAAAUAAGUCCUUUUGGACAGAUUUCGGUUCACUAAAAAUUUGUUCAAAAGACUAACUUCUAGUGCCAAACAGUCCACUUUUUACCAAAAAUUUGGCACAAAGCAAAGUAGUUUUAUUUUUCAGCAUGCAUAAUUGUAAAAGCAAGCUAACAUGUACUUAUUUUAUGAUUAACACAAUCUAUCUUUCAGAUUUAAGCAAAUUGGUACCAAACCUAGUUUGCAACAAACUAAAAUGAGAAACAAGUAACUAGAACUUAGUUAUGCUACUACAAAAAAAAUUUAAUACUGAAUUAUUAAUUAAUCAAGAGAACUUAAACCUAAUGACUAAAAUCAAACAAAUAAAGACACAUGUUAACAUAAAAAAUAACUUAGUGAAAAAGUUGAUUUAGACGAAUAUGAAACUAAAACUAGAUAGAAAACAAACUAAAAUCGACCAGAAUUAGAAUUUACACUACUACAAUAGCUACAACAAAGUAGUAGGCAACGGAAAUCAAAAAACUAAGAAAAGGAUUAAGGUUCCAAUUAGGGUCCAAAACUUUGAACUUCAGUUAAUUAGCACGACAAACUAAAUGUGAAAUAACAGAAACUGCAAUUGAAGCUAAAAUUUACCAACUUGAAUCUAAAACUAAUUUCAAACACCACUAACAGAACUUAUGAGAUAGGAAUCCAAACAACAAAAUAGUUUAAGAUCCACGAGCGACGACUAAUCAUUACUGACCCUAAACUAACUAACGACUAAUUAAAGAUAAAUAAAACACAUGAUCAAAAAAAGAGAAAAAUAAAAAAUUUCAAACCUAAACAAACACAAUGAAACAGAAAAAAAGAAAAAGAAAGGGGAGAUAAGGGAUUAGGGUGUACCAGUAACUCGAGUGUCCGAAGCAAUGGUGGUGCGUCAGUGGCAGUGAUUCAGGCAACGUUGGAUGAAGUUUUUAACGCCGGACAUGCUCUUCUUGUUGCUGGUUCGUCACUAUAAACUCCAAUCAAACCAAAGUUGAAUAACAAACUCAGCAACAAGAAAAUCUUAUUUGAGCAAAGCAGAAAAGGCCAUCAACUCGCCGGAAUAGAGCCACUGGAGUUUUGACUUCGAACCAAGAAAGAAAGGUAGAUUAGGGGGAAGAAAUACACACUCAUGUAGGUAUUAAGUGGUGGUGAGGUCUCAAUCUUGACAAAUCUGACGAAAAGUAGGCAGCUAGGGUUUCAUUCUUUACAAGAUUUGUGGCAUUUGAGAAGGAUUCGAGGGAUUAUGGGCUUGGAUUAGGGCAGAGGAGAAGGAGAUGAAGAGGUUGGAAUUGGUUGGAAGGUGUUUGGCCACCGGAGGACGGCAACAUAUGGUGGAAGCAGCGGUUGGGCAGCAACGACUUGAGAGAGGGUGAGAGAGAUGAGAGAGUGAAAGAGAAGUCUCUAGGGUUUGGGAAAUGGAAAC